rnacentral:rRNA from 1 species
CCUACGGGAGGCAGCAGUAGGGAAUCUUCCGCAAUGGACGAAAGUCUGACGGAGCAACGCCGCGUGAGUGAUGAAGGUUUUCGGAUCGUAAAGCUCUGUUGUUAGGGAAGAACAAGUGCAAUCGAAGUAACUGCUUGCACCUUGACGGUACCUAACCAGAAAGCCACGGCUAACUACGUGCCAGCAGCCGCGGUAAUACGUAGGUGGCAAGCGUUGUCCGGAAUUAUUGGGCGUAAAGGGCUCGCAGGCGGUUUCUUAAGUCUGAUGUGAAAGCCCCCGGCUCAACCGGGGAGGGUCAUUGGAAACUGGGAAACUUGAGUGCAGAAGAGGAGAGUGGAAUUCCACGUGUAGCGGUGAAAUGCGUAGAGAUGUGGAGGAACACCAGUGGCGAAGGCGACUCUCUGGUCUGUAACUGACGCUGAGGAGCGAAAGCGUGGGGAGCGAACAGGAUUAGAUACCCUGGUAGUCCACGCCGUAAACGAUGAGUGCUAAGUGUUAGGGGGUUUCCGCCCCUUAGUGCUGCAGCUAACGCAUUAAGCACUCCGCCUGGGGAGUACGGUCGCAAGACUGAAACUCAAAGGAAUUGACGGGGGCCCGCACAAGCGGUGAGAGCAACUGUGGUCCUUAAUUCCGAAGCAACGCGAAGAACCUUAC